ACAGGGAUUGCCCCAGUAACGGCGAGUGAAGCGGCAACAGCUCAAAUUUGAAAUCUGGCCCCCCGCGGGCCCGAGUUGUACUUUGGAGAGGACGCUUCUGGCGCGGCGCCGUCCGAGUUCCCUGGAACGGGACGCCGGAGAGGGUGAGAGCCCCGUACGGGCGGCCGCCUAGCCUCUGCGAAGCUCCUUCGACGAGUCGAGUAGUUUGGGAAUGCUGCUCAAAAUGGGAGGUAAAUUUCUUCUAAAGCUAAAUACCGGCCAGAGACCGAUAGCGCACAAGUAGAGUGAUCGAAAGAUGAAAAGCACUUUGAAAAGAGGGUCAAACAGUACGUGAAAUUGUUGAAAGGGAAGCGCCUGUGGCCAGACUUGCGCCCCGCGGACCACCCGGCGCCUCGCGCGCCGGGGCACGCCAGCGGGGCGCAGGCCAGCAUCGGCUCUCUCGGGGGGACAAAGGCCGCGGGAACGUAGCGCCCUCGCGGCGUAUUAUAGCCCGCGGCGCCAUGCCCCCGGGGGGGCCGAGGACCGCGCUCCGGCAAGGAUGCUGGCGUAAUGGCCACCGGCGACCCGUCUUGAAACACGGACCAAGGAGUCAAGCAUUGGGGCGAGUGUCUGGGUGGCAAGCCCGCACGCGGAAUGAAAGUGAACGCAGGUGGGAGCUUCGGCGCACCACCGACCGAUCCUGAUGUCCUCGGAUGGAUUUGAGUAGGAGCCCCGCCGCUUGGACCCGAAAGAUGGUGAACUAUGCCUGUAUAGGGUGAAGCCAGAGGAAACUCUGUGGAGGCCCGCAGCGGUUCUGACGUGCAAAUCGAUCGUCAAAUAUGGGCAUGGGGCGAAAGACUAAUCGA
rnacentral:rRNA from 1 species